rnacentral:rRNA from 1 species
GAUGAACGCUGGCGGCGUGCCUAAUACAUGCAAGUCGAGCGAACAGACGAGGAGCUUGCUCCUCUGACGUUAGCGGCGGACGGGUGAGUAACACGUGGAUAACCUACCUAUAAGACUGGGAUAACUUCGGGAAACCGGAGCUAAUACCGGAUAACAUGUUGAACCGCAUGGUUCAACAGUGAAAGACGGUCUUGCUGUCACUUAUAGAUGGAUCCGCGCCGCAUUAGCUAGUUGGUAAGGUAACGGCUUACCAAGGCAACGAUGCGUAGCCGACCUGAGAGGGUGAUCGGCCACACUGGAACUGAGACACGGUCCAGACUCCUACGGGAGGCAGCAGUAGGGAAUCUUCCGCAAUGGGCGAAAGCCUGACGGGGCAACGCCGCGGGAGUGAAGAAGGUCUUCGGAUCGUAAAACUCUGUUAUUAGGGAAGAACAAAUGUGUAAGUAACUAUGCACGUCUUGACGGUACCUAAUCAGAAAGCCACGGCUAACUACGU